rnacentral:rRNA from 1 species
GAUGAACGCUGGCGGCGUGCCUAACACAUGCAAGUCGAACGGAGCCCUUUAGACGAUUUCCUUCGGGGAAGAGAUUAAAGAAGCUUAGUGGCGGACGGGUGAGUAACGUGUGGGUAAUCUGCCCUUGUCAGGGGAAUAACUGUUCGAAAGAAUAGCUAAUACCUCAUAAAAUAUAGAGAAGGCAUCUUAACUAUAUCAAAGAUUUAUCGGACAAGGAUGAGCCCGCAUCUGAUUAGCUAGUUGGUAGGGUAAAAGCCUACCAAGGCAACGAUCAGUAGCCGACCUGAGAGGGUGACCGGCCACAUUGGAACUGAGAUACGGUCCAAACUCCUACGGGAGGCAGCAGUGGGGAAUAUUGCACAAUGGGGGGAACCCUGAUGCAGCAACGCCGCGUGAGCGAAGAAGGCUUUCGAGUCGUAAAGCUCUGUCGCAGGAGAAGAGAAAAGACGGUAACCUGUGAGGAAGCCCCGGCUAACUACGUGCCAGCAGCCGCGGUAAUACGUAGGGGGCAAGCGUUAUCCGGAAUUACUGGGCGUAAAGGGUGCGCAGGCGGUUAAAUAAGUUAGGGGUUUAAAGCAUUGGCUCAACCAAUGUACGCCUUUAAAACUAUAUAACUUGAGUUGAGGAGAGGAAAGUGGAAUUCCUAGUGUAGCGGUGAAAUGCGUAGAUAUUAGAGGAAUACCGGUGGCGAACGCGACUUUCUGGACUCAUACUGACGCUCAUGCACGAAAGCGUGGGGAGCAACAGGAUUAGAUACCCUGGUAGUCCACGCCGUAACGAUGAGUACUA